UACGUAGGGUGCAAGCGUUGUCCGGAAUUAUUGGGCGUAAAGAGCUCGUAGGCGGUCUGUCGCGUCGAUCGUGAAAACUUGGGGCUUAACCCUGAGCUUGCGGUCGAUACGGGCAUGACUGGAGUUCGGCAGGGGAGACUGGAAUUCCUGGUGUAGCGGUGAAAUGCGCAGAUAUCAGGAGGAACACCGGUGGCGAAGGCGGGUCUCUGGGCCGAUACUGACGCUGAGGAGCGAAAGCGUGGGGAGCGAACAGG
rnacentral:rRNA from 1 species